rnacentral:lncRNA from 1 species
CCUUGAACACCUUGUCAGGAAAGGUUAUGAAAAAAUGUCAUAGGGAAAAGAGUCUGGAACUCUUACCUCAGGAAAACUGAGAGUCAGUCUUUGAAAUCAAAGAUCCAGAACUCUGUGAACUAGAACCCCAGUGACUGUCACCAGCAUUCCCAUGGGGCAGUGGGGGAAGCCUGGAGCCCUGCCAGAGGGGACACGGCUUCUCUAGGAUGCUAAGAGCCCACACUCAGCACCAACCGAGACAAGGAACCAGAGCCACUGGUGAGAACACGUGAUCUGAAAAACCACGUACUUUAAGACUGCGGCCCAUGCA